UCCAGGCGGAGAGGACGGGAACGCUUUUAGGCGCCAAUGAUGAGUUCUGGAAACUACAUCUACCAAAGGGCCACGAGCUCCGCAGUAGUUUCUGGUUUCCGUGGCGUUGACCUUCUGGGUUACUUCUGAGGGGUCAACUUAGCUGGCCAUCAAGUUCAGCACUGCCCAGUUCGUUGUUUGUUUCAACUGGUGAUCAGAUGGGGGUGAACCAGUCCGUGGGCUUCCCGCCUGUCACAGGACCCCACCUUGUAGGCUGCGGGGAUGUGAUGGAGGGCCAGGGUCUCCAGGGGAGCUUCUUUCGACUCUUCUACCCCUGCCAAGAGGUGGAGGAGACCACGGAGCAGCCCCUGUGGAUUCCCCGCUCUGAGUACUGCACUGGCCUGGCCAGUUACCUGCGCUAUAAUAAGCGCUGGGGGGGGUUGCUGUUCAGCUUGGCUGUAGGAUCUUGUCGCCUGCCUGUUAGCUGGAAUGGCCCCUUUAAGACAAAGGACUCUGGAUACCCGCUGAUCAUCUUCUCGCAUGGCAUGGGGGCCUUCAGGACGCUGUAUUCAGCCUUCUGCAUGGAGCUGGCCUCCCAUGGCUUCGUGGUUGCUGUCCUGGAACACAGGGACGGGUCUGCUGCGACCACCUGUUUCUGCAAGCAGGCCCCAGGGGAGAGCCAGCUUACUCAUGAGCCACUGGAGGAGGAAUGGCUCCCUCACCAUCAGAUUGAAGAAGGGGAGAAGGAAUUCCAUGUCCGGAAUUGCCAGGUACAUCAGAGGGUAAACGAGUGUACACGGGUGUUGAGGAUCCUGCAAGAGGUCACUGCUGGGCAGAUCGUCCUUAACAUCUUUCCUGAUGGGUUGGAUCUGAUGACCUUGAAGGGCAGCAUCAACAUGAGCCGCGUAGCUGUGAUGGGACAUUCAUUUGGCGGGGCCACGGCGGUCUUGGCUUUGGCCAAGGAGACCCAGUUUCGGUGUGCUGUGGCUCUGGAUGCUUGGAUGUUUCCUCUGGAACAUGACUUUUACCCCAAAGCCCGAGGCCCUGUGUUCUUUAUCAAUGCUGAGAAAUUCCAGACAAUGGAGAGUGUCAACUUGAUGAAGAAGAUAUGUGCUCAGCACGAACAGUCCAGGAUCAUAACUGUCCUUGGUUCUGUUCAUCGGAGUCAAACUGACUUUGCUUUUGUGGCUGGUAACUGGAUUGGUAAAUUCUUCUCCACUCAAACCCGUGGGAGCUUGGACCCAUAUGAAGGUCAGGAGAUUAUGGUGAGGGCCAUGUUGGCCUUCCUGCAGAAGCACCUAGAACUGAAGGAAGACUAUGACCAGUGGAACAGCCUCAUUGAAGGCAUCGGACCAUCGCUCACCCCAGGGGCCCCACACCAUCUGUCCAGCCUGUAGGCACAGUUGGUCAUUUGUGAAAAGUCACUGAGCUAAGUUCCCAUUUGGGGCCUGCCCAGGGACACCUGUAGCCUAUCAAGAAGUGGUUGGCGUGAUCCUUCUUCACAGAUUGAGAGGAUAUAAUCGCGCUGCUGAUUGGAUAACUGGGAAAGGAAAUCUUCUUGGAAAUCUAACUCAAGAUUGCUGUCUGGGAACAUCAACCUGAAACACUCCUCUCCACUCCUCUAGACUUCAUACCUCAGCCCAGGUAGGGGACCCCAAGACAAGGCAGGAGCAAAAGGGAAAUGCAUCUCUACACAGUAGAUCCAAGGCCAGUGCCACCAAAGCAGGCUGGGACCAUGUCUCCCAUCUCAACAGCUAUUCUUUCUAAGACAUGAAAUAUCAGAUCCAUUGAGACUGUGGACCUUGGGAGGAUCUUAAGAAUUCCGGUGAGAUGGAGUGUAGGGAGAAUAUCAUUCAUUAAAGCACUGGGCUCUACAAUUCUGUAUCCUGGUUUUGAGUCCCAGCUCUACCGCUACUAACUGUGUAGAUUUGAGCAAAUUGUGUUCUUUUUCCAUUCUCAGUUCCUGAAUUUCUAAAACGGGGAUCUGCAUCAUGAAUCGUUAAGAGGAUUAAGCAUAAGGAUGUGUGACCCAUGGAUUAUUUAAAAGUAUGAUUCCUACUUUCUCAUUAUGUGAGAUUUUAUCUUACAGCUUUUGUUUUCUGGCUUUAUUGCUUUGUGGUCAAAGAAAAUAACCCCCAUGGGCUUCAUCCUUCAAGAUUUGUUGAAACUUGCUUUUUGGCCCAAUGUAAGGUCAGUUUUGUAAAUAUUCCUUAUAUGAUUUAAAAGACUGUAUAUUUUGAAGUUUUGGGCUUGCCAUGUUACUCAGCAGCACAUUAUGGACUUCCUUCUAUGAGCGUGCAUACAGGUAUUUAAUAGAGCCUUCAAACUCCUAUACGGGGACCAGAGCCCCUCCGCACUUGCAGAACCAGUAGAUGCCACUUCUUGUGCCUGGGGCUGGUUCUGCAGAUGCUGGGGGCUAGUUCUGGCAGCAUUAGCACAUGAGACCCAGCAAAUAUGUCCAAUGUCUACGCAGGUAUGUUUUGUAAAGAAGGUACUCCAAACCUGGAUCCAUCUCCUCCUUUCAGUUUAUGAUCUGGUAAUGACUCAUUUAUCUGGCAACACUGGAGUAGGUGAAUCUUUAUAUAAUUGAAAAUUAUCCUUUAAGCCACAAAAUAUAAUAUAAUAUUGACUAUUUUGAAUGGCAAUCUACCAAAAAGAUAAUGCACCCAUUUUCUUAAUGUGAGCUGACGUAUAACUUUUUAGGAUGUCUCUGUUAAGAUAAACUAGAUUGGGCGCCUGGGUGGCUCAGUUGGUUAAGCAACUACCUUCGGCUCAGGUCAUGAUCCUGGAGUCCCGGGAUCGAGUCCCGCAUCGGGC